GGUUAAGCGACUAAGCGUACACGGUGGAUGCCCUGGCAGUCAGAGGCGAUGAAGGACGUGCUAAUCUGCGAUAAGCGUCGGUAAGGUGAUAUGAACCGUUAUAACCGGCGAUUUCCGAAUGGGGAAACCCAGUGUGAUUCGUCACACUAUCAUUAACUGAAUCCAUAGGUUAAUGAGGCGAACCGGGGGAACUGAAACAUCUAAGUACCCCGAGGAAAAGAAAUCAACCGAGAUUCCCCCAGUAGCGGCGAGCGAACGGGGAGCAGCCCAGAGCCUGAAUCAGUGUGUGUGUUAGUGGAAGCGUCUGGAAAGGCGCGCGAUACAGGGUGACAGCCCCGUACACAAAAAUGCACAUGCUGUGAGCUCGAUGAGUAGGGCGGGACACGUGGUAUCCUGUCUGAAUAUGGGGGGACCAUCCUCCAAGGCUAAAUACUCCUGACUGACCGAUAGUGAACCAGUACCGUGAGGGAAAGGCGAAAAGAACCCCGGCGAGGGGAGUGAAAAAGAACCUGAAACCGUGUACGUACAAGCAGUGGGAGCACAGAGCAAUCUGUGUGACUGCGUACCUUUUGUAUAAUGGGUCAGCGACUUAUAUUCUGUAGCAAGGUUAACCGAAUAGGGGAGCCGAAGGGAAACCGAGUCUUAACUGGGCGUUAAGUUGCAGGGUAUAGACCCGAAACCCGGUGAUCUAGCCAUGGGCAGGUUGAAGGUUGGGUAACACUAACUGGAGGACCGAACCGACUAAUGUUGAAAAAUUAGCGGAUGACUUGUGGCUGGGGGUGAAAGGCCAAUCAAACCGGGAGAUAGCUGGUUCUCCCCGAAAGCUAUUUAGGUAGCGCCUCGUGAAUUCAUCUCCGGGGGUAGAGCACUGUUUCGGCAAGGGGGUCAUCCCGACUUACCAACCCGAUGCAAACUGCGAAUACCGGAGAAUGUUAUCACGGGAGACACACGGCGGGUGCUAACGUCCGUCGUGAAGAGGGAAACAACCCAGACCGCCAGCUAAGGUCCCAAAGUCAUGGUUAAGUGGGAAACGAUGUGGGAAGGCCCAGACAGCCAGGAUGUUGGCUUAGAAGCAGCCAUCAUUUAAAGAAAGCGUAAUAGCUCACUGGUCGAGUCGGCCUGCGCGGAAGAUGUAACGGGGCUAAACCAUGCACCGAAGCUGCGGCAGCGACGCUGAUGCGUUGUUGGGUAGGGGAGCGUUCUGUAAGCCUGUGAAGGUGUGCUGUGAGGCAUGCUGGAGGUAUCAGAAGUGCGAAUGCUGACAUAAGUAACGAUAAAGCGGGUGAAAAGCCCGCUCGCCGGAAGACCAAGGGUUCCUGUCCAACGUUAAUCGGGGCAGGGUGAGUCGACCCCUAAGGCGAGGCCGAAAGGCGUAGUCGAUGGGAAACAGGUUAAUAUUCCUGUACUUGGUGUUACUGCGAAGGGGGGACGGAGAAGGCUAUGUUGGCCGGGCGACGGUUGUCCCGGUUUAAGCGUGUAGGCUGGUUUUCCAGGCAAAUCCGGAAAAUCAAGGCUGAGGCGUGAUGACGAGGC
rnacentral:rRNA from 1 species